CCUACGGGAGGCAGCAGUAGGGAAUAUUGCUCAAUGGGGGAAACCCUGAAGCAGCAACGCCGCGUGGAGGAAUGAAGGUCUUCGGAUGGUAAACCCCUGUCAUGUGGGAGCAAAUUAAAAAGAUAGUACCACAAGAGGAAGAGACGGCUAACUCUGUGCCAGCAGCCGCGGUAAUACAGAGGUCUCAAGCGUUGUUCGGAAUCACUGGGCGUAAAGCGUGCGUAGGCGGUUUCGUAAGUCGUGUGUGAAAGGCGCGGGCUCAACCCGCGGACGGCACAUGAUACUGCGAGACUAGAGUAAUGGAGGGGGAACCGGAAUUCUCGGUGUAGCAGUGAAAUGCGUAGAUAUCGAGAGGAACACUCGUGGCGAAGGCGGGUUCCUGGACAUUAACUGACGCUGAGGCACGAAGGCCAGGGGAGCGAAAGGGAUUAGAUACCCUAGUAGUC
rnacentral:rRNA from 1 species